rnacentral:tRNA from 1 species
CGGAGUGUAGUGAAUCGGUAUCACGCUUCGUUCGGGACGAAGAGACACCGGGUUCAAUUCCCGGCACUCCGA